UACGAAGGGGGCAAGCGUUGUUCGGCGUCACUGGGCGUAAAGCGCGCGUAGGCGGACCGAUAAGUUGGGGGUGAAAGCCCAGGGCUCAACCCUGGAACUGCCUUCAAUACUGUCGGUCUCGAGUUCGGGAGAGGUGAGUGGAAUUCCUAGUGUAGAGGUGAAAUUCGUAGAUAUUAGGAAGAACACCAGUGGCGAAGGCGGCUCACUGGCCCGAUACUGACGCUGAGGUGCGAAAGCGUGGGGAGCAAACAGG
rnacentral:rRNA from 1 species